GAUGAACGCUGGCGGCGUGCCUAACACAUGCAAGUCGAACGGAAAGGCCCUGCUUUUGCGGGGUGCUCGAGUGGCGAACGGGUGUGUAACACGUGAGUAUCCCGCCCUUGACUUUGGGAUAACUUCAGGAAACUGGGGCUAAUACCGGAUAGGAGCUCCUGCUGCAUGGUGGGGGUUGGAAAGUUUCGGCGGUUGGGGAUGGACUCGCGGCUUACCAGCUUGUUGGUGGGGUAGUUGCUUACCAAGGCUUUGACGGGUAGCCGGCCUGAGAGGGUGACCGGCGACAUGAGGACUGAGAUACGGCCCAGACUCCUACGGGAGGCAGCAGUGGGGAGUAUUGCACAGUGGGCGGAAGCGUGAUGCAGCAGCGCCGCGUGCGGGAUGACGGCCUUCGGGUGGUGAACCGCUUUCGCCUGUGACGAAGCGUGAGUGACGGUAAUGGGUAAAGAAGCACCGGCUAACUACGUG
rnacentral:rRNA from 1 species